rnacentral:lncRNA from 1 species
AAAAAAAAGAGUUUAUCUUUCAUUUCAAUAUCAACAUUUGAUUAUUUUCCCUCUACUUUUCUUACACAUAUUUGUUAAAGGAAUAUCAUAGACAAUGAUGAUGGAUAUUGGAUACAAUAUCUAUCACUACAUUUCACCAUUGGCGGUGAGAACUAUCAUUAUGAAUGGUGAUUGCUUAUUUGACUUUUCACAACGAAAAAGCUUAUUGCCUUUUUCAUAUAUCCCUU